AACUGUGUGCGGUGGAUCACUUGGCU
rnacentral:rRNA from 1 species